UAAGCAAAUAUGCCAUCUAAUCAAAUUGUGUGAUUUAAUCUCUUUAUAUAGUACGCAAAUCGGUUCCUCUUCGUCUUCUUUUAAGGCAGAGACGCAAAUCGGUUCCUCUUCGUCUUCUUUUAAGGCGGAGACGCAAAUCGGUUCCUCUUCGUCUUCUUUUAAGGUGGAGAGCCAUCGUCCUAUCCUCGAAUACCCAACACAUCUGCUCCUCCGUUUGGGUCCUCUUUGCACAUCUCAUCUCCCCCAACCGAAAUCUUGAAGGCUCUAUCGCAGCAGCAACGAGCUUUCGUUGCCGCACUCGAUGGCAGACACCCAGCUCCAACAAAUCUGGCAGCCUUGGCGGCCUCUGGCUUCUCUGGCGUCUGGGCUCUUGGAUGUGGAAGCGGCCAGGACUGGGCAGUUGGGUGCCACCACGUCCAGUUCAUACGAAUCGUGAAGGCCGCUCGGUGCCACCACACGACUUGUUCUAGCGACCGAUCGGGCAUCCUACGGCAGAGAACGGAUACCAUGUAUGCCGCGCGAAUGUGAUCGAUAGCGUCUUGGGCGUCCUCCUCAUUAGCACCACCAUCGAUCAUGUGACCGUGAACUCAUCAAGGUUCAUCACAAGGGAGUAGGGGUUCGAGACAGUCAAUCGACAUUCACUACUGCAGCUUCAAACGCGGUUCGUGGGGGCAGCUCCAGCACUGGCAAAAGGUGAGCUUGGAGAAAUAACUUCAUCUGAUUUGCACGAUCCAAUCUUUAGUCCAGAAUAAUUUCACAAUCAAGGGCUUUUGGAUGGUAAAAUAGUGAGGAUCUGUGAACAAACUAAAGCGUCAAAACUCAGGGUGGACUGGAUAGGGUACACUCACAUUAUUUAACUUUAUUCUAACAUAUUGUAUAUCCACUGUCAACACCAAUCAGGGGCCUUUUUACUUUAUGUUUAUUUGUGCUAUAAAAGCAGUACUCUCUAAUCUUCAGAUUUCUAACUCGGUAAGAAAUUUGAUUAACAUAUCUUAUAUAUACCGUCAACACAAAUCAGGGGCUUUUUACUGUUUACGUAUUUAUUUGUGCUAUAAAAAGAAGUACACUAAUCUUCAGAUUUCUAUCUCUGUAGGGGAUUCGAAAGCAUCUGGUCUGUACCAAUUGACACACAAAAAGAACCUUGGCAAACGAAAAAUACUAAACGAUGGAAAGACUAUUCUGACAAGAAAUAUUCUUUAGGUUACUGUAGUAUUUAUUGUAAUUAAUUGACCCCAUUGUUUUGUUAAAAUUAGAUGGAUGGCAGUUUGCUCACCUUUUCCCUACAGGGUUGAGCACUAUAGCAACUGUAUUAGCCUAAAGUAGCCAUUCAACAACUAUUUGUGUGUUCUAUUAACCAUUAUAUUCAUGUCCACCAAUAAGGAAAUUAAAUUUAUCAGCACUAACACAUAUUUAUUUCUUCAUUUUCUGAUUGCAGGAUCUCGCUAUCAGGGCCAGACAAAGCAACUAGGUCAUUGGUUGUGUCAGAGAGUUCGGCUCGGAUAACUAUGAGCAACCUUUCCUUUGCCUUACUUGGUUAAAUACCAUGUUAUCUUUCUUAUUGUAAGUCAAAUUGUAGCCUACUUGAAAACAACCGCCACCCUCACUGUAAUUCACAAUGUCAUCUUCACACACCCAAAUAAGCUAAAUUUUAGCAGUAUAAUAGGAUUGGAGUUGAGGAAAAGCAUCAAUGUUACUUUUUUGAGCUGAAAUGUGUUACUUUCA